rnacentral:lncRNA from 1 species
UGGAUUUCUUGUUUUGAUUUUUUUUUAUUCAUUUCUAUUGGACGCCAUCCAAAAAUACUAGAAGAAUGACAUUUAGUCUCUUAGCCACAUUCAAAGGUGUUUAGUGUAAAUUUCUGGGAGUAAGAUCAAUGUCAGAACCAACCAACACAGAUAGUAGCAUUGUGAAUAAGCUGAAAACAUGACACUCGGGGUUUUGAAAAUAUUUUUUCCUGCAACAGAGACAUGUAAUUGCUGUAUGUACAUACUACUCCUUUCUGAUGUCAGUAGCUGUUGCUUUGAGAUGCCAAAAUUUGUCCGCAUUUUCUAGCUGAAAAAUAAAGAAUGGAAACCCAAUGCUGCUUGAUGUGAGUAGGUGCAAUUUGUACUAGAAAAAGCUCGAAGUUAUGAGAUUGGUAGGUAAGGGCCAGGUACUCAUGUUCAGAUGCUCAGCUCCAUGCUAAACAAAAGCUUCAAGUUUUCAAAAAAACAAAACAAAACAAACAACAAUACACCAACAAAAAAAAAAAAAACAGUCUUAUCUAUUUAGGCUAACUCCUAAAAACAAAAUUUUAAACAGCAAAUUUCAGCUUAUUCUUCAAUAUAUGAGAAUUGCUCUGAAGGUAAUGACUCCUAUCUUAUGAUGUUGGCCCACAAUGGAAAAAAAAAAAAAAAAAAAAAAAGGCAUCCACUGACAUUUGCUGAUGCUUACUGAAUGUUUAUGGUGGCCAAACAAUGGUGGUGCGGUGGUGCAUUUUAGCAGUGGCAACAGCAACAUGAAAGAUAAGCCACGUUCCAGUUACAUGGAUUUUCACAAGCACAGCAUCCAGACUCUUGUUCAUUACUGGCAAAAAUGCAUAGCUUACAGUGGUAUCUAUUUUGAGAAAUAGUGUUUUAUAGCUGAGAAUUUUCUCUACUGAAUAGUUUUACUGUGCUCUUUGUAUCUGUUGUAGUUUCCAUGGAAAUAAAUAGGAGGCAUUACUUGUGGAGUGUCCUACGUACAUACACCAUUUAAAUUAGAAAUACAGAAAAAAAAACCAACAGAUAAUUCAGUUUCAGGAUAACCACACUUUGCCAUUGUGGUUAUUACAAUUCAGAAAUAAUUGUGCUUGCUUUUGUCUGCCCCUUCACCCCUUUCAGCUGUGUCUUCUAUGACCACUCAAUUUGAAAAUGCUACAUUCUGGUACAUUAUCUGAGGAACAAAAAUACUUUAUCUGGGCUUACUGCUUUUAUUCAACACCCAGAACAAUCUAUGUCUAUUCCUUUAAGCUCCUUGGGAUGUGAAAAAAUAUGGUUACAUAAAUCUUUGUAAUCCUGAGGGGAGGAUAGCAUAUAAAGAGUUUACUGGCGUUAGGAUUAAGUCUAGUGUAUUACAAUGCAAUCUUUAAUCUGCUAAAAUCUACCUUGGUGUUGCAAGCUGUUUUGUGCUUGUAGAUGAAGUUUUGGAAAUAGGACACAGCUGGCAACACUGAUAGAACACCUUAAAAAAGGAAGAAAAGAAAGAAAAAAGACAAAAUUGGUGAAUCUACUAAUGAACAGAUUUGCCACUGCUCCUUGUACAGUGGACUCUUAUGAGUCUAAAAAAUGACAGAUGAUGGAGGAAAUCCUUGUAACUGAAGCUAGGAAGAAACAGUCACUAAAGUUGAAAACACCGCCAUAGUCACCACAGAAAAUCACAAAUGUGAAGCAAAACCCAUGUAACAUUGCCGUGCAAGCUGCAAGAGUCUUACUUGGUUUUGAGAUUCAUCAAUCCAAAUGAAUGUAACAAAUGAGUCUUAGGUACCUAAGAAAAAUGAAAAAUUCCUCAUGCUGAAAGAGACUUUGUUCUCUUUUGAUAAAUCUGUAUGAAAUGAUAACAUUGUUGCAGUCAUGUGCUACUUCAGAGAAAAAAAAUGGGGAAAAUGGCUAUUUUUAGGCAUUUUUCUAAAGAACACCACAGUUCUACUAUUUGAACUUGUCUAUUCCCAGUCAAACAUUUUCCUGUCAAGCUACACAUGACUUCUGAGUUUAAAGAUUCAAAACCAAUGUAGAUGAGCAAUUAAUGCAUAGGCCUAACUGGGAGAGAGGCUGGGGCACAGGUUUCUAGCUCUGCAGCCUUGGCUAAAGCAUUUUUUGGGCACAGCUAUGUGCUCAGGAAAGAAAACAAAAUAUAAAGAUUUGCUUAAGAGCUACUGUGACCUAUGACAGUUAAAUAUCAGAUUAAAUGAAAAUCUAAUUAGGGCCUUAGGUAUUAAAUACAGUUGACCAAGGGAAGCCAAUUGAUGUUGUCUAUUUUGGAUUUGCGUAAAGCUUCAGAUACUCUUUCUCUCAGUAUCCUUCUGGUCAAAAUGUCCAGCACACAGCUAGACAAAAAAACAUAAAGCAAUGGAUGAGCAACUGGCUGAUGGUAUGGGUUGAAGAGUUAUGUAUAAUAAGCUACAGUAAAUGGGUUUACAUCAGGCUAGCCAGCCACUAGUGGGGUUCCUCAGGGCUCCAUUAUAGGGCCACUUCGCUUUAAUGUUUCCAUAAAUGACUUGGAUGUAGGACUAGAAGGUGUUUUGAGCAAGUUUGCUGGUGACACUAAAUUGAGAGGAGCUGCUCACUCCAUCACAGGUGGCAAGGCCUUGCAGAGAGGUCUAGACAAAUGAGAGAGCUGUGCAGCCACCAACUGCAUGAAGAGCAAGUGCCAGAUUCUGCACUUGGGAAGGGGCAAACCUGGCUAUACAUACAAACUGGGGGAUGAGAUGGUGAAGAGCAGACCAGCUGAAAUCUGUUCUGGUCAUGGUUGACAGCAAGUUUAGCAUCAGUCAGCAGUGUGCCCAGGUGGACAGGAAGGCCAAUUGUAUCCUGGGAUGCAUCAAGCAUGGUCAAGGGAAUGGAUUGCCCCACUCUACAUGGCCCUGGUGCAGCCUCACCUUGAAUACUGGGUGCAGUUUGAGGCACUACACCACAAAAAGGACAUAAAACUAAUAAAAAGUACCCAAAGGAGGGCUAAAAAUAUGGUGACAAGUCUAGAUGGGAAGAGAUAUGAGGAGCAGCUGAAGUCCCCCGGUUUGUUCAGCCCAGAGUAGAGAAUGAGGAGAAACCUCAUUGCAGCCUAUUGCUUCCUCACAAGGGGGAAUGGAAGAGCAGGUGCUAAUCUCUGCUCUCUGGUGACAGGAACAGGACCAGAGGGAGUAGCACGGAGCUACAUCAGGGAAAGGUCAGAUUGAUUGUCAAGAAAAUGUUCUUCAACAAGAGGUUAACAGGCACUGGAAAAGGCUCCCCAUGGAAGUGUAAUGACAUUGAGUUUGCCAGAGUUCAGUAAGCAUCUGGAAAAUGCUCUCAGUCCUAUGAUCUGAUUUUUGGGUAGUCCUCUGUGAAUCCAGGGGUUGGACUCAAUGAUCAUUAUGGGUCUCUUCCAACUUGGGAUAUUCUGUGAUUCUAUACUGUAUCUGAAAAAAGAGAGUUCAUGUGGGCCUUUUCCAUAGCUGAGAGCCCUAUAGGAACCUCACAUAGUGCAUCAAAAAAUAAAUAAUUAAGGUUUUCCCUUAAGCUCUUAAGUGAUAUUCAAAUUCUGAAACUGAAAACUACUGUUUCGAACAAUUCAAAGUCUGAACAAAUUAUUAGACAUCAGCAUAAAAUUCUGUACUUUCCUGGAAUGCUGCCAGGGUGUUGAGUUUUUUUUUUACUUUUUGUUUUGUUUAAUGGAGAUGCAUAUUUUUCUACAGCUAGGGUUGUUCCAUCUGCCCUUGUCAAGCUUCAAAUAUACUAGAGCUCGUUAGAGCUAAAUAUAAGCCUUAAUACACAGACUUAUGUUUAUCUUAUAAAAUUAUGCAAAUUAUCCUGCACAUAAACUGAUAUUUAUCAGUAUUUCUGUUAGAUAAGUUAAGCUUUAAGCAAAAUAGUUCCAGUCUUAGAAGGAAGCUUUAGCAGAAAGGAGUCGUGAGACUUCAGAAUCUACAAGAUUGUAAAGUAGUAGCUUUUCCUUCUUAUUUACUAGUUUGCAUUUCCAAAGCACUACACAAUCGUGAACAAAUUAAUCUAAGGCAUUACAGUGAAUUUUACAGAUAAGGACAUUAAAAGCCUUUAGCAAAUGUUUAAUUGAAAUAACUGCCAUACGUUAAUUCCAAGAAACUUGUUUCAGUAUCAGAAAGAUUUAGCAAACAUCUAGUGAGAGUGAACUCAAUAUGCCCCAGUGCAGAGAAUCUCACAUGCACUACUCUUCUCCCUCAGCUAGAAAGAACUGCUUUGAAAUGACAUCUUAAGAGUAAAUGAGGAGCACACUAAGAAUGGAAAGAAAUUAAUAAUACACAAGCCUAUGGAAUAGACAGAGCAUGUGCAGAAACCAUAUUCUUUAUGGCUGCCCCUUAGGCAACAGCACAGCUUUGCAUGGAGAAAAAGCUUUCACUUCGUCCUCACAGUAGUUCUGAAUCUAACUUCCAAAUCAAAGGAUUUGUACUCCUUUAAGCAAGAGUGACUGUCACCCCCUCCAGAAUGGUAAGUUAAUUCUAAUCACUCAGUAAAAUCUGGCAGAGGAUAGCCUGUGGUGAACUCAAAGGUUUUCUCACAGAACUGUGUUUUAAUGUAAAGCAUCACCGCUUCUGCAUUCUGUCAUCUGCCAAUGGGAAUCCAAUUGCUUCAGGAUCCCUACUAAACACCACUGUCAUAAAAUAAACUUUUAUAUUAAACUUCUGUUCCUGUGCAGUCAUUUUUGUACAAAGUGUCUGGCAUUUAACCAAUUGGUCUUUUCCUGGGUAAAGGUCAUAGAGAAAGAAGGAGGAUGUGAUCCUUCACAUCCAAUUAUCCACAUCUCGAGACAUGUUAUACUGGAAGAUUUUUGCCACAUCUCAUCUAUUAGGAUAACCCUUUCCCUAGCACAAUACAAAACUGUUGUGUUUCUGGAACUGAUAUCCAAUAGUGAUUUCAGUAGAGAAGAGUUGAUGGAAAAAAAAUUAAAUCUACUAGGAAAAAUAGGUCUUCACAUUUCACAAUAACAUGCAUAUUGCUUAUUAGCAGGCAUUUAGGUCAUAUAUGCACAGAGAGUCUAGCAGUCCAGCCGUGUGACUAUCCAGCCAGAAGCACACCAUCAGUUGGGUGGGCAGACACAAGAACGCUUGCACAUCCUCUGUCAGCCUGGUUUGUUUCCAUAGAUGACUUUUUAAGAAAUGUCUCUUAACUGAUACUUUUGGCUUCCUAUGCAUGACAAGGUUAUGUUUGAUAAGUGCAUAAAUACACUACGGUAUUUUAGAUUUCUUGCUUACCCAGUUUUGGGGGACAAAAGAUCUUUGAGUAAAAAAGAAUCUGGGAUAUUUUGAGAAUAUUCUCCAAGGGGGAGAAAAAGGAAGGCAGGUGGCAGAGUGAGAGCUAGAAAGGAGAGAGCAGAAGGGUGAAUAAUAUUAUAUUACUAAUGAAUGAUGGCCUGCUGGUGUGAACUUGAAGUGUUUUAAGAUCCACCCCAUCAAAGCUGAGAUUACCUGAAAAAUAUUUUCCUGAAUCUCUAAAAUAUUCUCAAAGUUUUGUAUUUGCCUCUCAUUCUUCAGGGUAACAUCCUCAAUUUUGGAUUAAAAGUAAAGUAUUUAAUCCUGGAACUGUUGUUUAUUCAGGCAACAAGCUGAAUUUCAGUCUUAUAUUGGUUCUUCUUAAAUAAACAUAGAUGUAUACCUGGAAUACUGAAGAUAUAUCUUGCAAAACAAUGAAUGAUAAUAAACAAUGAUAUGCUAUGAUGAUAAACAGUGAAACUGCUUAGAUAGUAAAUAGGUGGCAUUCCUAAAAGAAGUAAAGCUAGACAUGGACCAGCUUUUGCUUCUUCCUAUAUAUCUGCCCUUAAUAUUUGUGGACUUUUUGUUAUACGUGAAUUUAAUGAGUGUCAUUCUGCACAUUUACUAAGUAAGGCAACAGGCACUGUGCAUAUUGGUCUGUGCUCAGAUAAAAUUUCAGUUAAAACAUAUAUAUGAAUAACCAAAUAUACUCACUACAAGAGCACAUUAAAAAAUGGAAAACAAAAAAACACUCUGUUGAAUACUGUCUGGCUCUGUUUUGUGAAGGCCUUCCCAAAUCCUCUCCUAUCUUCACAAAAUCAGGAUAGCAUAUUCUCUUAUGUCUUAGCAAAAUAAAAAUGAUACCUGGCAUUUCAUCUGCUUAGUUGGCUCUGCUGUUAAGGGAUUUAAUUCCUCUCAGCAGAUAUACAAAUGAGAACAUUUGUCUUAGUCCUAGAGACAGAAUCAUUUAUGUUACACUGCUUCGCAUUAUGUUAAUAAUUUCUAUCCUAAGUGAAGUCACAGGAAGUGUUUGUCACUAUCUCCAAUGGGACUCAAAUUUAUUUGAUGUAUGUUUAGUAUAUAUAAAGUUCAGUCAUUUCACUAGAGUUCUUAAAUUCAUAAUGGAUAACAUUUUUCUCCAAUGCUUUUUUGAAAGGAGGAAAAAAAUUGCAUGCGUGCAUAUUCAUAAAAUACUACCACAGAAGAAUUAGAAUUGUGUACAAUUUGAAAGAGUGCUGAAUUACAGGUGGGGUUAAAACAACUUCACAUUAGUGAAAUAUCGUAUGGUGGCUUUCAUUAUUGAUUCUCUGUCAACAUCACGUUAGUUCUUUUCUAAAUCAGUUCUGUGGCUUGAACUUGAAAAGACCAUGAUGCGGAGUCCACAGGUUCAUUCUAAUUGCUCCUUUUCCUGGUAGACUCCACUGUGCCAGCCUGUCACUCAUCAAGACCAUUUGUCUGUGAACAGACUUAAUUAAGCACCUCAAAUCCAAUUUCUUUGAUCUUUUACACUAUUAAGGAAACACACUCAGUCCAUCAGCUAUGGAGAGUUUUCUAAAGAAAAACCUCCUGAAAACACCCACUGGUGUUAUUCUCCUCUGUUGAAAUAGAAAGUUCAAAAACAAGCAGGUGAAUUAGGAAGGGAAAAUAAAAUAAUUGGAGAGACAACAAAAAAAUUGUUAAAUCCUAAAUAUUCAGAAGAUUUAAGGAGUGAUUUACAGCACUUAUCAACUCUUGCACUUUUUUUCUCUCUCAAGAGAGAAAAAUAUCCAGUAGAGACUUGAUUUAAAUAUAAAUGUUUAGUUACCCUCCUUUCAGAAUUUAGCAGGCAAUUGCAUUUGUUUUUGUGAAAGAGGUAUGCACUUUCAGCAUCCUUUCUCACUGCUCAAAUAUCCAGCACAUUGAUAGAAAUGAUCAGGUGGAAACGCUUUAAAAAUAAAUAACCAGAGUUUCAUGAAAAUAAUUCAAGAGCUGCUUUUGGGCUUUUUUAUUAACAUUCUUGCCAUUUACACUGUAUUGACUUAAUUAUUUUCAGAUAAUAUUUACCUGUGUCUACUCUUAUAAUUGCAUCUUAUGCAAAACUGUUUGCAUUCAUAAAAAGAUCUUAUCUCGCAGCUUUGUGACAGAGAUUAUUCUGCACUCAAUGGCUACUCACUGCACCAUCAACCAGAAACCAAAUUCAUAAUAUAGAUUGUUGUGAGUAAUAACUUUUAAGGAUUUUUUAAUAAUUAAUUUAUUAAUAAUGAUUUCAUUCCACACUGGGAAAUAAGUUAUUUGUAUUUUAGAAAAUACUGCUGCUAAAGGUGUUUUUCUGAAAGAAGAUCACUAGCUAUAGUUCAUUCUAUUGUUGUCAGGUAUUUUUCAUGCCUUGUUAGCUAAUUUCCUCUUCUUACUGUCAGUUAAAUAUUUUCCAGAAUUUCAUGGUUAUGGAAUGGAGAUCAGACUUCUGCAGCCAUAUCUGAAGAGCAGCUCCUGUGUGACAAACACUUAACUGGUUAAAGAGUGUUUUACAACUCUACGUAAGGCUGAAUUAACCAGAUAAAUAUUCAGGCCUAAACAUGGUCAUGGUACAAAGUUGAUUUGAAACAGAUAAAAAUUGCUAAUUCGAGCUUUGUGAAAACUUUACACAUAUAUUUGUAUAUAAAAUAUUUAGUUCUCUCUUUAGUUUGAGACUAUUUCUUCUAUUAACAAUUCAUUAUGGUCUAUGUAACAACAUACGUAAAUGAAGUAGAAAUGUCUUCAGUGACUACUGGGAUUGCUCAGUCUGGAGAAGAGGCUCAGAGGAGACCUUAUUGCUCUCUAUAGCUACCUGAAGGGAGGAUGUCGUGAGCUGGAGGUCGGCCUCUUCUCUCAUGUAACUAGUGAUAGGACUAGAGGGAAUGGCCUCAAGUUACUCCAGGGAAGAGUCUGGCGGGACAUUAGGAAAUACUACUUUUCUGAAAGAGUCAUCAGGUGCUGGAAUGGGCUGCCACCCAGAGAGAUGGCGGAGUCACCAGCCCCGGAGGUGUUCAAGGAAUGUUUAGACGCUGUGUUGAGGGACAUAGUUUAGUGAGAACUAUUGGUGAUAGGUGGACAGUUGGACUGGAUGAUCUUGUAGGUCUUUUCCAAUCUUAGCGAUUCUAUGAUUCCAUACUUCAUUGUAUACUACGAUUAUAACUAUCCUCAGACAAAAAAAAAUUAUGUGGCAAAUGUAGUACAUUUCCUAUGUUCCUUUUAGAAGCACUUUUUUGUCCUUCAGAAAACAAAAAUCAGAUUUAUUUUAGAGUUUACUUUUCUUAAAUUCCUAUCAGAUAAGACAGAUAUUUAUGCUAGAAAGUAGUAUAGAGUUUAUUUAAUUACUUUUCCAGUUUCUAUUCUCUAUUCUAUUUCAGUUCUCUCUCAGAAUAUAAGGUACAUUUGGAAGUUUGAAGAACUGUAGGACAAAACUUAUGAUGAAAGCUGAAAACUGGCAUUAGAUUUUAUUAAAUAAAUCAUCACUGCAAGAAGGUAGAAAUAAUCCUGAGCAAUGCUGUAAAUUCCACGUAGUCUCAAUUUGUUCUCACUUCAUUUUGCAGUAGUAUUCACAUGUGCUAGCUCAUAAGAGUUGAUAUCACUGUUAGUUAUUGCUGUGCUUUCUUCUAAUUACCACCAAAUUGUGACCACAGCAAACUACAUAUGUUUUUUAAAAUAUCACUCUUUUAGUUCUUCAUCCUUGAUGCAAACAUGAUGAGAAAUGUAUCUAUGCUUAUUAGGUGUCUUACAGCAAGGCAAAGUUACCCAUAUUAAGUCUCAGGAGAUAGGACUUUCUUCUGACCCAGAUAUUUACAAAACUGGAAGUCAAAGUACAGCAACAUGAGCAAUUGGACAAGUCAUCAGUAAGAGCUAAUGAGAAACUGUGUAAAAUGACAUAAUUCUAUUGGAUACUGAGAUGGUAUCAUUAGUAUGUAUUAAAAGACUCAGAGAGGGUUAAAUUAAGAAAUGAUGUGCCACUUUUCAUUAUCCCAAGGAAGUCCUGUAUACAGUAUAUCAUUAGAAACUAUUUACUGAAGCAAAAUAUCAAGCACACAUUGUGUAUCUCUUGAAUCAAGAUGUCAUAAAUAAAUAUUUUCAAGACAAAAUAAGCAAACUUGCACUUCAGUAGGCCAUGAAUCUGACCUCUUUAUCAUGUACUUCAAAAUAAAAUCACUGACUUCUUUUUUUUAACAGCCUUUGCUCACCAUCCACUAGAAUUUUCUGACAAAAAUCACCACAAGGGCUCUGAGUUAAGGCGGGCUGAGCUAGCUGACACAACCAACUCUGAUUUCCAUUCAGUAUUCAGCUAGUUCCAGUCACCAAAGGGUCUUAAAUUAAGGUAACAUGAGAUAAGAGGGAAGAUCCUCACUGGGAUAACUAACUAAGAGAUUGGAAACAAAGAGCUUCAAUAAAUGGUCAAUUUUCUCAGUGAAUAGAAGGCACCAGUGGUAUCCCACAGGGAUCUUCACUGGGGCCAAAGCUGCUCGACAUGCUCGGGGCUGAUCAGGAGAACAGAAUGGAGAGCAGAUUAAGUUUGCUGUUGCUACCAAGUUUUCAUGGUAAGAAAAACAGAAACUGACUGCUAAAAAGAGAGUUGAAGAAAGACUCUGUGGCACUGAGUGAUUGGGGAUAAAAUGGCAGACGACAUUCAGACUACACAAAUGUAAAGUAAUGAACUUGGCAAAAAACAGCUCAUGCUGUGCCCAGUGAUUGAUUCUGAAUUCACUGCUACAUCAGACAAAAUAACAGCCUUAUGAAAAUAUCAGUUCAGUAGCUCAGGAAUCAUUAUCAGAGGAAAAUCUCAGAAAAUGUAAUGUUUUUGUGCAAAGUCAAUGCUAUGAUCAUAUCUUGAUUGUUAUGUAUAAUUCUGGUCCUUUCAUCUAGAAAAAGCACAGAGUAGAAUUUGAAAAAAAGGUGGACAAAGAUGAUCAAAGGUAACCAAAUAACUCACACAGAAGGGUGAUCUGUAAGAGCUGGGGCUCUCAAUCUAGAAAAGAGCCAACACAGAAGCACGUAAAAAUCACAGCAGACAAAUAGGAGAAUAAGGGAUAAACGAGCUGCCUCUUGCAUUGCAACAGGAAAGCCUCAGCUGGAAAUGAGCAUGUGGAAGUUCAACAUCAAAAACCAGACUGUGCACAGCUCAGUCAAACCUCUCUAAGCCUUGGCCAGUGAACAUCACUGAGUUGUGAAGAUUAUUCAUUUUAAAGAUCAAAGUGAACAAUUGCUUGAAGAAGCUCCAACUAAGUCCAUUAACAUUCCUUUUCCUGGGAAUCUCUUUUUGUACAAAGCUCAAAAUCCAGCCAAAAUCAUCAUGCAUUCAAGUGAUCAAUGAAUGAGCACUACAUACGGCAAUGAGGUAAAUGUUUGGGAAUGACAAAAACUAGGUAAGUAAGAAAAGGUACACUGCUCUCCUAUUAGCACAUUUCACAUUAGAGAAGGAUUCCAAGCAGCUUAAAAACAGAAAAUUAUGCCACAAUUUUGCAGAAUAAGAAAAAAUCACUGCAUUGCUAAGAGAAGUUUAAGUGUUGCAUGCAAAUCUUCACGACAAUUGAUUCGCAAUGAAGUUUAUAUUCAUUUCAUGAUCAUUUGCCACUUGAUUACAUGGAGUUAACUCACAGAGGAACUGCCUUUCCAAAGUUUCCCAGUCAAACUUGUAAUUAAUACUCCCCUCAUUUUGACUGAACUAUUUUGCUUUUUAAGAGAAGAGAAGGCACGAACAUCACAACUUUCUGAUCAGAAUUUUCUGCUCAACUUCAGGACGAUACAAAUACUGGUCCUAUUAAUUUGUAAUUGAUUUAGAAGAUAAUCUUCAACAUUUACAAACUGCCAGUGAAAAUAGCGUAAGGUUCUGACUGCUGCAAGUAUAUACCUAAAUUUAAAAAUCUUGCCUCUGUAGUUGAUAUUAUUGAACUUCUCUGUACUAAGUUGUCUUCAAUUGCAUCUAUAAUGUAACUUAUUCCUAAGUAUUCUUUUUGCUAAAGAAAGGAACCCACUGAAAGACAAAACACUCACAUCAUCCUUAGCACUUGAGUGCCAGCACAUUUUCCUGUGUGCCUGGUUAAUAGUAUUUCUUUCCCGGAAAAAAAAAAAAAAAAAAAAAAAAAAAAAAAAAAAAAAAAAAAAAAAAGGAAUAAAAAUAUAAAAAUAUACUAGAUUUGCAGAACGGACAGCAUGAAAUUUAGUUUUAAAGGCCUGUUUUCCAGUCCCUGUUAUAGCAACUUAACAUGAUCCUAAUUUUUUAUGUUUUUUAAAUCUAAUAAACUAAAUCCCUGAAAAUACGGUAGAACACAAAGGACUUCUAGCUUAAAGCAUCCAUUAGUCAAUCAGUUUUGCUUUGCUGGGUAAACAGUCUUACCUUUUUGAAAACAAGGAAGUUUAUGUUAUAAACUCCUCUUGAGAGAACAGUCAUUACUACAAUUACAUUUGACCUUUGUUGCUUCAAUUCCAGGGAAAAUAAUCGCAAUUCACAGAGUUAAUUAAAAAUACACAAUGCUGCAGAAAAAAAAAAAAAAAAGAAAACUGUUUGAAAAUAGACAAAAUUGUAUUCAGUAUCUAAAGCUCCAGGUGCAUCUAUUUCUUAGAUGAUUAGAUAAUUUUAAAGUAUCUCUGCUGUUGUAAUUACAGAAGUAGUUAUUAUUCUGCAGUUUCUCAGUUUUUUAGCCACUUGAAUACUAUGGUUUUAUUCUUCUGUAAAAAUCACAUCUCUUGACAAAUUAAGUGUUCCAUAGACUGGCCUGAACUGGAACUCCACUAUUUGCAUGUCACAGUUUUUCCAGAUACUUAAGUGUAUGUGCUUGUGUAUCUGCGUACACAAAUAGAUAUACAAGUUCUCUAUGUUCACCUUGAAACUUAACCGUUAGGUUUAAUGUAGACUCCAAUGCAAUGCAACACUAAAAUACUCAAUUUGCUUUCUCUUAAGAGAUUUAAAAAUAUAAGAAUAUGAAUUAUCUAUCUGCCCUAUUCGUGGAGGCUCCUGACUAUUUUGUAACUUUAUAAACAAUAAAUUCUAAAGUAACAAAUACAAGAGUUACAGCCAAAGGGUUUAGUCACAAUUGUGAUCUUGAUAACCAUGUUCACUUGAUAAACCAGAUACAGUGCUUGUCAAGGAAAUUUAUAACUGCAUACUGUGUGCACUAUAUCAAAGGGCAGUGCACUCACAGGACUCUAAUGAGGAAGUAAACAAUGCUGAGGGUCAGAUCAGUAGGCUGCAACACGCUGCUCUCCACAGAGAAAAUAAUGGCUGAAUUAAAUCCUGUAUUUGGUAGCAGCGCCACAUGAAGGAACAUAUUUUACUCUUUAGACAUAUAAGCUGUUCUAGAAAACCAUUUCCUGGCUUAUUGUCACACAGGUCUUCUAUUGAUCACAACAAAAACAACACUGUGAUUGAUCCUUCUUGCUGUAGUAUUUCCAAUAUGCUCAUAAACUAAAAGUCCAGGUACCAUUUAUGUUGAAGUUAAUGGGACGAUAUGCUUGAGCCUAGGUUACUCAAUCUAUGUACAGUUUAAUAGAACAGAGUCUAACCUCUUUAUGUCUACUGGUUUUGCUGCAAUGGAACAGAUUACUUAAAUAGUACUGCAGAUAAAAAUACUACUUGAUAAUGCUGCUUAGAUAAACCUUUCACAGUGUAUUCACAUCUCCACUGAAUCAUACUGACCAUGUAAGUUUUUACCUCCUGGCUCUAGGAGAAGAGUGGCUGUCAUAUUUAUCACCACUGUGUUCAAUGUCCAACCUUUGUUAUUUCAAGCCCUGUCUCCUUUCCUAUCAGGCUGUGCUCCAUGUCACGUAUUUAUGCUUCUCCUUGAGCUUCACUGUGAUAACUGAGAGGUUUUUAUUCCUCUUAAGAGUUUAGCUCUCCUGUUGAGACACAUCCUAGGCAAACAUGCAAACUUUUCUCUAAAUAAAACCAGUCUUUGCUUGAUCGAACUUAGCACAUUAGCAUGAAACUCAACCAGAAAUGGAAAUUCAGGAGGAAAAAGAAGGAAAAAAAAACACCAGCAAACAAACAAACGAAAAUGCAUACCGUGUAGUUAUCAAUAAAGCGACCACUUUACUCUUGUAUAUUCCUUAAAUCUGUGCUUAGUUCUCUGAACCUGAUGUACAUAUGCAGUUCCCUGCUUUUCUGCUGCAAGGAACCAUUUGACAGGGACAGCCAUGUAGUUCCUUUUAGGUGUGCAACAUGAAGUGCUGCUAGAAGGAAAGACAAACCACCUUCAUCAGCAGCGUAAGGCUAAUCUCUUUCUCAAGAUCUCCAAGCUCUGUGAUGCUUAGGAAACAAAGCUGAGAAAAUAAAGUUAAUAUUGAAAAUCUAAUUUUUUCUUGGUUAAAUAAAAGGAGGAAGUACAGAAAAUGGCAGGAAUGCCAGAUAACAUCCAACGGGUACUCAUGUGCAUACCUUCAUUAAUGCAUUCUCGGGACAUAAAAAAGCAGUAGCAAAUGCAAAUGGUAUGUACAGCACAGCCUUGAUUUGAAUGGAAAGGUGCAAGGCAGCCAUAAUUUCAUGUAAGUUCUAUGAAAUGAUAUAUGGCUUCAGGAUCUUCUGACUGACCAGUAAAAGAGAGGACUUCUAAUUUCUUUCAAUCUAUCUGUCAAAAAUCCAACCCUGUAAUUAUAUGUGGAGCAGUGGGAGUGUGGAAAUGAAAAUAAGGAAAGGAGAAGAAUUGCGCAGAGAAAAAAGAAUUGAAGCAAAUGUGGAGUGGAAUUGCUUGCAAUUUUACCAUAAGUUAAAGGAUUUUAUUCAGCAGUACACUGUAAUUUUAAUUCUGUUUUUCCUGCCAUAUACCAACUCUUGAAGAAGUUACAGAAACAAUGGGAAUUAUCGUCAUAUUCAAUUCCACCCUGAAACAAACUCCUUCACUUUUAGCUAAAUUCAGAGGUGAGAAAAAUAGACAGCUCUCCAACAUUAGUUUCGCUUUUUAUUCAUUUGUUUCAACACUUCGUGUAUUUUUUUAGUAAAAUCAUAUUUGGCCUCAACCUUACGAAUUUUAAAUAACAUUGGAGCACUGUCCCAGUUGUUUUUUACAGGCUAGAUAUGAUGAGGAUCCCAAGUAUUCCUGUUAACCAAGAAUAAACUCUAGGAAUUGGAAAACAGUCCAAGUCUUGGUCUGCAGCAUUAGGUUUAUUUGCAGAGAAAUUCAACUGUAUUAACAAUUCCUCCAAUACUCUGUGGCUCUGAUGAACAUUUCAGGGAAGGUAGUGUGUAUGUUUUCACUUUUUCUUAUACAAUGGAAACAGCAGUCCUUUCAUCAAGCACAAACUACAGUACUCAUGACAUGUGGCUAUCCCCAGCCCAAAAUACAUGUCAGGGAAGGGCAGUCAGAAAGGACAGGAGAACAUUAACAUGUGAAGAAAUCCCUCCCAAGCAGAAAAGGGCAAUGCUGGAUGUGAAUAUAUGAUUAUUAAAACCGCUGGAAUGUCAAAUGUAGAACUGACUAACUUCAGGUGAGAAAAUAACUCUUUUCUGGUAACUUCACUGUUUCAAAAAAGAGUGUGAGACUUGAGAAUCAAAUUGAAAUUAGGGUAUUUUACCAGUAAUUAAUCUUGAGCAGAUUUUUCCAAACAGUGUGAAUCUUCGGUUAAAUUCCCAACUUCUUCAGUUUGUCUUUACGCUGUUAAUCUUUUUCUUUUUUCUUAGAACACCAACUCAUGGUGGCAGUUAGGAAGGAUGCAAUAGUGAUUUAAAAAAAAACUAAAAUCCAUGUAUACGUAUACUUGGAAAGCACAUCGUCAGCUAAUAAUUUUGAUUGUAUUUUAAACUUGAUCUGAAAGCAAGGGCCAUUCCUUUGAAGUAAAGAAACUUGUUGACUACAAGACCAAUCCAGUUUGCUGACAACAAAUUUUGAGCUGAUAGUCUUUGCUCAUGACAAAAUCCAUGCACACACAAUCUGUACAUUAAAUAUUAUUUGGAAUGGAAUUUUCAAUAAAUGCAAGGAAAUUGAAAGUUCUAUAUAAAUCAGCCUACAAGGAAUAAAAUAUUUAUAAUAUACUUGUCUCUAAUAAUUCACUGGUUUAUUUUUUUAGUCAUUAUGUACAUUCUUCCCAGAAUUGGAUCUGAUACAAUACCUCUGACAAAGGGAUUCAUAGCAAAAUGGUGCUACAGCUGCUUCUUUUAAACUCACCUAAUUAUAAGCUCCAGAUGUCUUUCCUUUCUGGAGACUCAAAGACAACUCUAAUUUUAUUCACACAUACUGCUUGUCUAGGAUCAGGCUACACUGCAAUUCUCUUCUACCUAGAAAACAGAGCUUUGUUUACAUUUGCACCAUUGUACGUUCUUUUGAUUUUUCUAGUUUUUUCUGAUAUGCAUAAAAAUACUGUAUAUUCAUGCUAUGAAUAUAAAUAUAUUCAGAACGGCUGCAAAACACCACAAAGAAUUAUUGUCUUAAAGCUGGCACUGAUUUCAAGCAUAUAGAACACUCACUACUAACAACCAGCAUUGCUAAGGAUCAGGGGUAAAUUGACCUGAUAAACAUCCCAAAUGCAUCACUUAAUUUCAGCAUCACACUUGAGUGGGAAAAUGCAUUCGUUCUUCUACAACAAAACUACUUUUGGACAAUGUAUAGGAAAAGUUAAUUCCAUAAACAACAUGCAAACUGCUUUUUUUUUUUUUUUUCAUCUUAAUUUAGAUGAGCUUAUUUUACAUGCAAAAAAAAAAAAGAAUGCAGCUUUCACUAAAACGUCAAUAUACAGCAUGUUCUUUGCUGACAACCAAUGGAAUAGUCCAUACAUCAAAUGUAUGGACUGGCUCUUCUCCUUCCUCGAUUUCAGUUAG